rnacentral:rRNA from 1 species
CAAUAGCGUAUAUUAAAGUUGUUGCAGUUAAAAAGCUCGUAGUUGGAUUUCUGGUGGGAGCGAUCGGUCUGGCGCUUAGCGCGAGUACUUGCAUCGUCUCCGGCCAUCCUUGGGGAGAGUCUGUCUGGCAUUAAGUUGUCGGGCAGAGGAUCCUCAUCGUUUACUGUGAAAAAAUUAGAGUGUUCAAAGCAGGCUUAUGCCGUUGAAUAUAUUAGCAUGGAACAAUAAGAUAGGACUUUGGUACUAUUUUGUUGGUUUGCGCACCAAAGUAAUGAUUAAUAGGGACAGUUGGGGGUAUUCGUAUUCCGUUGUCAGAGGUGAAAUUCUUGGAUUUACGGAAGACGAACUACUGCGAAAGCAUUUACCAAGGAUGUUUUCAUUAA